AUGCAGCCUGUUACUCGAUGCACCUCCAUUUGUCAAUUACUAGUUAGAUUGCCCUCUGAUGCACCUCUUGCUCAUUUUGCAGGAAUUUCUCAAUGUCUUCUUCAUCGAGGUAUUCAUUGUCAUCUUGUUCAUGCGAGUGCUCUGAUUCUGGUAUUUCUGUUUCUUCAUUGUUCUGGCAACUGUUGUUUUCUCUUGUUGCUGCUGAACUGGGGUCAUCAUCUUCAUCCACCUGCAUUCAUAGCAAUUUGCUUCAGUACUUUAUUUCUUACUAGUUUUCAACUUCUAUGUAUGUAUCUUGUUACUGAAUUUUGGUCUUUUACCUGUUCCAAAUUCAUGGUGCCAAAAAGGUCUGCAUGCCAGGGGUUUUCUUCUGUUGCACCUUCUUCGGUUGGUGUAGUUUCAGUUUCAUUUCGUCGAAUGUCUGCAGAAUAG
rnacentral:rRNA from 1 species